rnacentral:tRNA from 1 species
AGUCUUAUAUUCAAAUAAAAAUGAUUUUAAAUUGCAAAUUUAAAGGUAAAGGUAACUUUUAAGGCUU